rnacentral:rRNA from 1 species
UUAAGCGACUAAGCGUACACGGUGGAUGCCCUUGCAGUCAGAGGCGAUGAAGGACGUGCUAAUCUGCGAUAAGCGUCGGUGAGGUGAUAUGAACCGUUAUAACCGGCGAUUUCCGAAUGGGGAAACCCAGUGUGUUUCGACACACUAUCAUUAACUGAAUCCAUAGGUUAAUGAGGCGAACCGGGGGAACUGAAACAUCUAAGUACCCCGAGGAAAAGAAAUCAACCGAGAUUCCCCCAGUAGCGGCGAGCGAACGGGGAGGAGCCCAGAGCCUGAAUCAGUGUGUGUGUUAGUGGAAGCGUCUGGAAAGGCGCGCGAUACAGGGUGACAGCCCCGUACACAAAAAUGCACAUAUUGUGAGCUCGAUGAGUAGGGCGGGACACGUGGUAUCCUGUCUGAAUAUGGGGGGACCAUCCUCCAAGGCUAAAUACUCCUGACUGACCGAUAGUGAACCAGUACCGUGAGGGAAAGGCGAAAAGAACCCCGGCGAGGGGAGUGAAAAAGAACCUGAAACCGUGUACGUACAAGCAGUGGGAGCCUCUUAAUGGGGUGACUGCGUACCUUUUGUAUAAUGGGUCAGCGACUUAUAUUCUGUAGCAAGGUUAACCGAAUAGGGGAGCCGAAGGGAAACCGAGUCUUAACUGGGCGUUAAGUUGCAGGGUAUAGACCCGAAACCCGGUGAUCUAGCCAUGGGCAGGUUGAAGGUUGGGUAACACUAACUGGAGGACCGAACCGACUAAUGUUGAAAAAUUAGCGGAUGACUUGUGGCUGGGGGUGAAAGGCCAAUCAAACCGGGAGAUAGCUGGUUCUCCCCGAAAGCUAUUUAGGUAGCGCCUCGUGAAUUCAUCUCCGGGGGUAGAGCACUGUUUCGGCAAGGGGGUCAUCCCGACUUACCAACCCGAUGCAAACUGCGAAUACCGGAGAAUGUUAUCACGGGAGACACACGGCGGGUGCUAACGUCCGUCGUGAAGAGGGAAACAACCCAGACCGCCAGCUAAGGUCCCAAAGUCAUGGUUAAGUGGGAAACGAUGUGGGAAGGCCCAGACAGCCAGGAUGUUGGCUUAGAAGCAGCCAUCAUUUAAAGAAAGCGUAAUAGCUCACUGGUCGAGUCGGCCUGCGCGGAAGAUGUAACGGGGCUAAACCAUGCACCGAAGCUGCGGCAGCGACACUAUGUGUUGUUGGGUAGGGGAGCGUUCUGUAAGCCUGUGAAGGUGGCCUGUGAGGGUUGCUGGAGGUAUCAGAAGUGCGAAUGCUGACAUAAGUAACGAUAAAGCGGGUGAAAAGCCCGCUCGCCGGAAGACCAAGGGUUCCUGUCCAACGUUAAUCGGGGCAGGGUGAGUCGACCCCUAAGGCGAGGCCGAAAGGCGUAGUCGAUGGGAAACAGGUUAAUAUUCCUGUACUUGGUGUUACUGCGAAGGGGGGACGGAGAAGGCUAUGUUGGCCGGGCGACGGUUGUCCCGGUUUAAGCGUGUAGGCUGGUUUUCCAGGCAAAUCCGGAAAAUCAAGGCUGAGGCGUGAUGACGAGGCACUACGGUGCUGAAGCGACAAAUGCCCUGCUUCCAGGAAAAGCCUCUAAGCAUCAGGUAACAUCAAAUCGUACCCCAAACCGACACAGGUGGUCAGGUAGAGAAUACCAAGGCGCUUGAGAGAACUCGGGUGAAGGAACUAGGCAAAAUGGUGCCGUAACUUCGGGAGAAGGCACGCUGAUAUGUAGGUGAAGCGACUUGCUCGUGGAGCUGAAAUCAGUCGAAGAUACCAGCUGGCUGCAACUGUUUAUUAAAAACACAGCACUGUGCAAACACGAAAGUGGACGUAUACGGUGUGACGCCUGCCCGGUGCCGGAAGGUUAAUUGAUGGGGUUAGCGGUAACGCGAAGCUCUUGAUCGAAGCCCCGGUAAACGGCGGCCGUAACUAUAACGGUCCUAAGGUAGCGAAAUUCCUUGUCGGGUAAGUUCCGACCUGCACGAAUGGCGUAAUGAUGGCCAGGCUGUCUCCACCCGAGACUCAGUGAAAUUGAACUCGCUGUGAAGAUGCAGUGUACCCGCGGCAAGACGGAAAGACCCCGUGAACCUUUACUAUAGCUUGACACUGAACAUUGAGCCUUGAUGUGUAGGAUAGGUGGGAGGCUUUGAAGUGUGGACGCCAGUCUGCAUGGAGCCGACCUUGAAAUACCACCCUUUAAUGUUUGAUGUUCUAACGUGGGCCCCUUACCGGGGUUGCGGACAGUGUCUGGUGGGUAGUUUGACUGGGGCGGUCUCCUCCUAAAGAGUAACGGAGGAGCACGAAGGUUGGCUAAUCUUGGUCGGACAUCAGGAGGUUAGUGCAAUGGCAUAAGCCAGCUUGACUGCGAGCGUGACGGCGCGAGCAGGUGCGAAAGCAGGUCAUAGUGAUCCGGUGGUUCUGAAUGGAAGGGCCAUCGCUCAACGGAUAAAAGGUACUCCGGGGAUAACAGGCUGAUACCGCCCAAGAGUUCAUAUCGACGGCGGUGUUUGGCACCUCGAUGUCGGCUCAUCACAUCCUGGGGCUGAAGUAGGUCCCAAGGGUAUGGCUGUUCGCCAUUUAAAGUGGUACGCGAGCUGGGUUUAGAACGUCGUGAGACAGUUCGGUCCCUAUCUGCCGUGGGCGCUGGAGAACUGAGGGGGGCUGCUCCUAGUACGAGAGGACCGGAGUGGACGCAUCACUGGUGUUCGGGUUGUCAUGCCAAUGGCACUGCCCGGUAGCUAAAUGCGGAAGAGAUAAGUGCUGAAAGCAUCUAAGCACGAAACUUGCCCCGAGAUGAGUUCUCCCUGACUCCUUGAGAGUCCUGAAGGAACGUUGAAGACGACGACGUUGAUAGGCCGGGUGUGUAAGCGCAGCGAUGCGUUGAGCUAACCGGUACUAAUGAACCGUGAGGCUUAACCU